GCUCUUAAGAGCCACUUCAAUAGACCCUUUUACAGCCCACGUGAUCAAAUAGCCUGCUUGGCAUUUUGGCAACGGAAGUGAUGUUAUUUCCCAGUGGUUCUAACGUGUAAGCAACUCAGAAAGUUUAUUAAAACGAUUUCCCCACAUCAAAACGUCUGGUUGUAGCAUUUGGUUGCACUAAUAUAAUAUACGUUUUGUAUUUGGCCAUCUUCUAACGUCUUCUAUCCACUCCACUAUAGUACACGGAUCAGGUAACUAUGUAGAAGAUAAGUCAACUUUUUAAACUAACUUUCUCUGUCUGUGUUGCUUCACUGCUGAUUCUUGCCGUGCUUCCGUUGCAAAACUGCGUGCACAUACGUUGCCAUGUCAUCAUUGUGUACAAACAGUAAAAGGGUCACUCAUUCACUCUUUCGCAAGCUUCUCUGUUUUCAAUAUUGUUGAAAUGGCUGCUGAGCAAGACAGAGGGAGAGCAGAGGAUGUUAUCUUCAUAGCAAACAUGCUUCUUGCUCAAAUCAAGGCAGAGGAACCCAAGGGCAAAGCAACAGCCAUUAAAGGGAGUACAUUUAAUGUCAGAUAGGUGGAGAAAAUGCUGAAGGACGUCCACUACUAAAAAGAAGCAGAAGUGAAGAGAUACAAAGCUUCAGCUACAGUCUGUUUAUUGCCUACAGUGAGACCUGCAAAUUUCUGCACUUGUGAUCAUGCAAACAUCCAGUGUAGAGCACUUCACCUGCCCGGCAUGUACACCCAACAAUGCUCGCUCUUUGUGCAGAUGGCAACAGAAAAACCUACAGAUUCCGUCAGUCAAAAGAAAGGAGCUUCAAGCAGCCACAAACGGAGAGUUCUUUUGAACAGAUAUUGCUUGCAAGUAUUGGCCAUACCUUGAGAAGGCGUCAGUCUCCAUGUUGGAACUCAGACCUUUACUGCAGAUGAGACCUUUCCUUUCUGUCAUGCAUGCCAAGGCUCAUUCAUCCAAGUGUCAGGUGCCACACAUUUGUUAGAUAAUCUGGCAAAAAUCAGGAAGGUGCUGGUACAACUGCAGUUGAGGAGGUCAAAAUGGUCAACAGCUACCUGUCUCGUUGUGGCCUCAAAACCAAGUAUCUAAUUGAUGCCUAUUUAUAAUAUUUUAGGAAACCUGUCUUUAUUUUUUCACUUUUUUAUUCUUUCUGUCUAGUACUUUGAGAUUGCAUAAGAGUAAGCUGUAACUGUUCAAAGUACAUAAAAAAAUUGGCAUGUAGUUCUCUCUUAAAUUUUAAACUCAAUUGUCAGUUUCUGGAUUAAUUGAAAUACCACAAGCAUUAAUGGGACCUUUCUUCCUUCAUCACAUACAUGUCUUGUUAAUAGCCAGGAAUGACAUGCUAACUGUCCAUGCUAUUGGGUGGAACCAACGGAAGCAAGAAGGCCUUCAGCAUUAUCCAGCAGAUACAUCAAGAAAGGCUGAGUCUCAGAGACGGGAAGAUUUGAGCAGUGAACUGGGGUGUCCUGAGAACAUUGUGAAUCAUUGGGUACAAGAUGUCAGACAAAAGGCUACUGAUGGAUUUGGUAGGUACCAGAUGUGAUGACCUACAUAACCUUCAGAAAUGAAUUGAACAAAUGUUUCUUAGUCUUCAUCGAAAAGCCAGCCUUUAUAAUCACACUGAAAUCCAGCAACACCCUCACCAAGAAGAUUUUUUUGAUGUGUACAUGUCAAAAGUGCGCCUUCAAGAAGCAAAGAUCAUUGUGAUGAGGGAGAAGAGACACCACUGCACCGCACCUAUCUCAGAAGCCUGGCUAGGAACAUCAGAAAAAUGAUUUCAGAAAUGUCUUCAGGCAAAAACAGUGGCAGUUUAAGUGAAGAGUGUCAUCGCUGGCUACUGUGUCGUCUUCAGAAAAGGCUUGCAGAUGUAGAGAAGAAGUUCUAAGUUUGCUCAAGUUACAGCCAGGCUUUAGGACGAUGUUCUUCACUCCCAACCCUGGAGAGCCGGUGUCCUGCAGACUUUAGCUCCAACCUUAAUCGAACACACCUGAAAGCUAAUCAAUGUCUUCAUGAUCUCUAGAAAAUCACAGGUACGUGUGUUUGAUUAAGGUUGGAGCUAAGCUCCGCAGGACACCGGCUCUCCAGGAUUGGGAGUGAAGAACACUGCUUUAGGACCUAAUGCUGUUUCUCUGCUGGAGGAUGAGCCCGAGGAGAUACUGGAGGACCAUGAAGAGCUGGAUUAUGAGAGUUCAGAUGACAUUUUGGAUUUGGAACUCUGAACUGGUGUAUGCAUUUAGACUGUGUGUCACACUGAACUGCAGGUGUGUUUCAUGGAAAACAUAACUAUUUGGAAAUGUCAUGGAUGUCUGAUACAGUGCUUUUAUUUUAGACAACUGUUUCCUGCAGUGUGUAAGCAACAUUAGCCUCAUAGAUUGAUGGGAAACUACUGUUAAAUAAGUUUUUGUAUGAUAAUCCAUAUCUCCGUUUACAUGCAGCAGGUUAGCUAUUAGGUUUCCCCUCCACCUCCGAUGUUUCACAGACUACUCCUACAGUCAACUGUGUUGCUACAACUUGCAAAUGCCACAAUCCUCUUCAGUUCAGUUCAGUUUAUUAAAGUUGCAUCUCAUAUCAUAUUUACAUACAAUGCAAGAGCAAAAAUCUUAGGUCUACCACACCUUUUGACCAACAACAGUUCCAAACAUUAAAAGACAAUGCAGUGGUUACUUCACCAAACUGUGCCCAUAUCAUCUUGUCAACAUAAUGACAUUUACUGUAGAAAAAUAUGUAACACAGGCAAAAUAGAUUUGCACAUGUUACUAUUAUUGUUAUAUAGUUUUAUACUGUAUAAAGUUUUUUCACAGUGAUUGUGGAUACUUUUGGAUUGAACUAACUGUAGCCUAUGUCAUUGGAUGAAAUAAUUUCCAUAAAUGACUGAUCAAUAGCAUACCCAUAUUUGAUGCAUGAGUUAAUACUGUUGUUACGUUUUCAAUGAAAGGAAAUGUUUUACAAUGCCAUGUUCUUGAGGUAAUUAUUAAACU